CAUCAUCUUUCCCAAGAAAGCUUCUAUCCUUUCUGACAUCACAAUUUUUCUCUAUGAUGCCAUCAUUCAUCCAGUCAGUCAUGUUUGUAAUCUGGAGUUAUCUUUGACUUUUUCCUUCUAUUUCCCCUUUCUAUCUAAUUUUUACAAUGUCUGAUCAAGUCUAACUGUAUAACAUUUUGAAAAUUUAUUUGUACUUCUCUAUCCCUGUGGCUAGUCCCUUAGUAUGGGUACUCAUUAUUGUCUCCCUGGAACAGUGAUGAUGAACCUUAUAGAGACCAAGUGCCCAAACUGCACUCUUAGACCACAUGUGAUCCACCUCUUUACCCCAGACAGGGGAACAAGUAAGCACUCCCAUUGAGCUUCUGGGCAGAGGGGCAGGUGAUGUGAAAAAUUUCCUCAGGAAAUGUGAAUAACAUCUUCAAUCAACUUGAUCAACUAUAGUGAAAUAUAGGAUGACUAAUACCAACUAUGCUCCUGAUACCCCUUAAAAAGGCAAAUACAAACUUUGAGGUUUAAUCCAUUGCUGGAAGUCUAGACAAGAGCAAAUAAUGUAUAGAUCAUGAGAAGGAAUACAUCACCAUUUCCCUUGUGCCACUUACAGAUUACAAUGGUGGUUGGAAGAAGAGGAUCUUUCAUUCAUAUUUCCCAUCAAUGGCAUGUUGUGGUGGAGCAACUUAACUAGUAGGAGAUGCUGUGGUCAGCAGUCAAUUGAAAAAAAAAAUCCUGUGAAAGUGAGUUUGUUGAAUAUUGAAAUGGGCUCAAAGACCUCAGAAGAGUGAUACACCCAGUAGAGACUGAACACAGGAGAAGCAAUUAUUUAGAAACCUACAUCCACAACAGAGGAGAAAUAUCUUUAAUGCUUAUGUCCCUAGCAUCUUCCGUUAAAUGAAAUGAUGGAUCUCUUUCUGGUCAAAGUAAAUAUAUAUGAGGAAAAUGAAGCAGUACAAUGAGGAACAGAGGAAGUUUGGGAAAAAAUGCUGACAAAUACUGUGUCCAUGCACAAAAUCCUAGGGAUACAAAAUAGUCUUUGUCCUCAAGGAUCUUAUAUUACACUGGGUGGAUAUUCCAUUGUAUAUAUGUACACAGAAUGUGUGAGCACAAUCAUCUUCAAAAAACACAGUCUUCUAUUUAUGAUUCCACUGAAAAUUAAAGUAAAAUUAAUCUUUCUUACCUUACUAAAGAUGAGCAAUUCCUUUUUUAUUAACUUUUGAAAAAAAUUAUCCAGCACUCCACUAAAUAUUGGAGUACUAUAAAAAUAUAACAACUUUUCCAGUCUGAUAAUGACCUCUCUAUUAACUACUAAUCUUAUAAAUCUUUUAUAUGAAAUUUUAAAAUGUUAUUGAAGGAUGCCAAUUUUCAUGAUGAAAAUAUUGCUUUUCUCUCCUUUAAAAUGAAUGUAUUGAUUUCACUAAUCUAUAUGUUUUCCUUGACUAUAUUCUGCUAUCUUACAGAUGAAUGGCAUUCAAUAAAAUAAUGGAAAGUCAUUUCUUGCCAUGUGAUAAAUACUUUGUGGGAGCAUUAUACUACAUAAUAGAAAAUAUGGAAGAAGUAAAUGGAAUUUUUGUAAUAUUAUUGAAUUUGAAAAGUAUCAUAUUUAAAAGAGAAAAUUUUAAACUGCCUGUAACAUUUUUACAGGAUAACUUAAAUACCUAGAUUUUGAUUUUUUAAAAAUUAGUGUUCCUUACACAAAGAUGACAGAAUAGAGGCAGCACCCUAGAAAAACUCUCAUAACAUUCCCUUCCAAACAACUAUAAAAUAAUGCCACAAAUUGGAAAUUAUAUUGCUCAUUAGGAGACCUGAAUCAUAGUUCCAAGGUAGAAAAUAAUACUUCUGGUCAGACACAAGGGAUCAGAGGCCCUGAAUGCAAUGCUAAGACAGAAAGGAACACUCAUGCUUCUUUCUGCAGGACAGCAGUCUCCUGUACAUAGCUCUAGGACUGAAAGGAACACCAGCUUCUGUGUCUCCAGGGGACCAGGGACUCUUUCUGUAUAAAGACAAGAGCUAAGUGAAUGAUUCCAUGAGGCAUCAAGAAACAAUAAAACAAAAUCAAAAGAAUGAAAAAGAGAAGAAAAUAUAAAAUAUCUCAUUGAAAAUAAAAAAAGAAAACUGAAAUGGAAAAUAAAUUAAGAAGAGAUGUCUUUUAUUGGACUACCAAAAAGUCAUGAUAAAACAAAAGAGCCUAGAUAUCAUAAUUCAUGAAAUUAAGAAGUAAAAUUGCCUUCAUAUCUUAGGUCCAGAUGAAAAAAUAGAAAUUGAAAGAAUCUACCAAUUACUUCCUAAAAUUGAAUCCCAAAAGAAUACUCUGAGGAAUAAAAUAGCCAUAUUCGAGGAGAGGUAGGUCAAGGAAAAAAUAUUGUAGUAACCAGAAAGAAAUAAUUCAAAUACUCUAGAGGCACAAUCAGAUUCAUAGAAUAUUUAUCAGCUUAGAUGUUCAGAGUGGAGAGCUAGACUAUAAUGUAUUGUAAGGCAAAGGAACUAGGAUUACAAUGAAUACAAUGAACAAUCAAUUAGUCAACAAAACUGAGUAUAAUCCUUCAGGAAAAAUAUUGGUUAUUUAAUGAAAUAAAAGACUUUCAAGCAUUCCUAAUGAAAAAAAAAAACAAAGAUAAAUGAAAAACUUGACAUUCAAAAAGGUAAAUAUGAUAGAGAAAACAAAGGCACUCAAUAAGAUUAUCCUGCAUAUAUUCACAUAUAAGAUAUGUUACCUCUUAAGGAUUCUAUCAUUAUUAGGGCAAUUAGAAGGUGGUCACAAAGAGGGCAUGAGUGUGAGUGAUUAUAUAGUAAGAUGAUCUAAAAAAAUUAGAGGGUGAGAAAGAAAGAUGUACUAGGAGAAGGAGGAAGGAAGAAGAAUGGGGGAAAUUUUCCCACCUUAAAGGAACACUCAAAGAAGGGCUUCUACAAUGUUAGGGAAAAUGGAAGAGUGUGAAAGGCAACAAUUGAAUUUUAUUCUCAUUGGAAUUUGUUAAAAGUGGGAAGUACACAUACACACACACACACAUGGACUCUGUUGUACAUAGAAUUAUGUCUUAUUCAACAGGAAGUAGAAGGCAAAGUUAAUAAUAAAAAGGAGGAUGAUAAAAGUUACAUGGUGCAGUUGAUAGAGUCCUGGGCCAAAAGUCAGGUAGAUGUGAGUUUCAAUCUGCCCUCAGAAAAUAACUAUUAGUGUGAAGCUGAGCAAAAUACUUAGCCCUGUUUGUUUCAGUUUCCUCUUCUAUAAAAUUAAUUGGAUAAGGAAAUGGAAAUCUACUCCAGAAUCUUUGCCAAGAAAACACCAAAAAGGGGUAAUGAAGAGUCAGAUAUGACUAAAAAAUGACUAGACAGAGAUAAAUAGAUGCAGUAUUCAGAGCUAAAAAAAGACUUUUGAGAAUGAAUAGUUUAAAAAAUAGAGAAAGAAUAAACAGAAGAAAAUAGGAUAGAGGGAAAUAUGUAACUAGCAAUUCUAUUUAUGAAUAUGAAUAGGUUGAAUGUGAAAGGAAAAAAUUCACUCCUAAAAGUAAAGUCAAUAACAGAAUUGUUCAAAAAUAGGAUGCAAAAAUAUGUCGUUUUCAAAGACACAUUUAAAGCAGAAAGACACACAGAGGUCUAAUAAAAGGUGGAUACAAAAAUCUAUUAUGCCUCAGGUAAAGUUAAAAAGAUUAGGAUAGACAUCAUUAUCUCAUACAAAACAGAAGCACAGAUGGACCUAAUGGAGAGAUGAUCAAGAAAAAUACCUUUUCAUUAAAAAAAUACCAUAAAUGAUGAAGUAAUAUCAAUAAUUUUUUACAAAAAGUUUUGUAAAAGUUUUAUAGGAAACUGUUAAAUUUGUAAAAAUAAGAGACAUUCCUAAUUGAUAAAUUAAUUGUGAAAGGAUAUAAAUAGGCAAUUUUCAAAGGAAGAAAUUAGAGCUAUCUAUUGUCAUGAAAAAUACUCUAAAUCAUUACUGAUUAGAGAAAACAAGUUACAACUACUAUGAGGUUCCACCUCAUACCUCUAAGUAAUUACAUGUGCUAGAGGGGAUGGAGGAAAAUAGUUAUAGUAGCAAAUUGCUGAUAGAGUUGAGAACUGGUCCAAUCAUUCUGAUAAACAAUUUGGAAUUAUGCCCAAAGACCUAAAAGGCUGUGCAUCCCCUUUAAUUCAGAAACACCCACUAGUAGCCCUGUAUCUCAAAGAGAUGAGAGAAAAAAGGGAAAGGACUUCUUGGCACAAAAAAUAUUUUAAAUAGCCCUCUUUGAGUGACAAAGAACUAGAAAUUAAAGGGAUGUCCAUCAAUUCCAUAUUGGCUGAACAAGUUGUAUGUUAAUUGUGAUGGUAUAUGAAAUGAUGCAAAGUGAAGAGAGUAGAACCAGGAGAAUGUUGUACAUAGCAACAAAAAUAUUUGAAUGAUGAAAAACUGAAAGAAUUAACUAGCUACUCCUUUCCAGACAAUGAUCCAAGAAAAUUCCAAAUGAUCCAUGAUGAAAAAUUCUGUCUACCUACCUGCAGAGAAAUAAAUUAUGAACUCUGAGAGAAGACUGACAUACUUUUUUCACUUAUUUUUGACUUAGCUAAUAUGAAAUUUUUUGUGUUAUUUUGCAUGUAUAAUUGAUAUCAUAAUACUUGAUUUAUAAGUGGGCACAGGAGGGACAA